GCCCAGGUGGUGAAAUGGCAGACACGCUAGCUUCAGGGGCUAGUGACCGCAAGGUCGUGUGGGUUCAAAUCCCACCCUGGGCA
rnacentral:tRNA from 1 species